AGUGAACGCUGGCGGUAGGCCUAACACAUGCAAGUCGAACGGAAGCACAGUAAGAGCUUGCUCUUACGGGUGGCGAGUGGCGGACGGGUGAGGAAUACAUCGGAAUCUACUUUUUCGUGGGGGAUAACGUAGGGAAACUUAUGCUAAUACCGCAUACGACCUACGGGUGAAAGCAGGGGAUAUUCGGACCUUGCGCGAUUGAAUGAGACGAUGUCGGAUUAGCUAGUUGGGGGGGUAAAGGCCCACCAAGGCGACGAUCCGUAGCUGGUCUGAGAGGAUGAUCAGCCACACUGGAACUGAGACACGGUCCAGACUCCUACGGGAGGCAGCAGUGGGGAAUAUUGGACAAUGGGCGCAAGCCUGAUCCAGCCAUACCGCGUGGGUGAAGAAGGCCUUCGGGUUGUAAAGCCCUUUUAUUGGGAAAGAAAAGCAGCAGGUUAAUACCCCGCUGUUCUGACGGUACCCAAAGAAUAAGCACCGGCUAACUUCGUG
rnacentral:rRNA from 1 species